GUGGGGAAUCUUGGACAAUGGGCGCAAGCCUGAUCCAGCCAUGCCGCGUGAGUGAUGAAGGCCCUAGGGUUGUAAAGCUCUUUCGCAGGUGAAGAUAAUGACGGUAACCUGAGAAGAAGCCCCGGCUAACUUCGUGCCAGCAGCCGCGGUAAUACGAAGGGGGCUAGCGUUGUUCGGAAUUACUGGGCGUAAAGCGCACGUAGGCGGAUUGUUAAGUUAGGGGUGAAAUCCCGGGGCUCAACCCCGGAACUGCCUCUAAUACUGGCAAUCUCGAGUCCGAGAGAGGUGAGUGGAAUUCCGAGUGUAGAGGUGAAAUUCGUAGAUAUUCGGAGGAACACCAGUGGCGAAGGCGGCUCACUGGCUCGGUACUGACGCUGAGGUGCGAAAGCGUGGGGAGCAAACAGGAUUAGAUACCCGGGUAGUCC
rnacentral:rRNA from 1 species